GGCCUCCCAAAUCUUACCACAGGCUGUGUUCUUUACACUGACUAUAGAAAGAGGACAUACAAUAAAUGGACCCAAUAUACACCUCAACACAGGCCCUUUGCCUGAUUUGUAUUGUGAAUUGGGGGACAAAA